rnacentral:rRNA from 1 species
GACGAACGCUGGCGGCGUGCUUAACACAUGCAAGUCAAGGGGGCCCGCAAGGGUAACCGGCGAACGGGUGCGUAACACGUGAGCAAUCUGCCUCGAUGUGGGGGAUAGCCGGCCCAACGGCCGGGUAAUACCGCAUACGCUCUCUGGGUGGCAUCACUUGGAGAGGAAACAUUUUUGGCAUUGAGAGGAGCUCGCGGCCUAUCAGCUAGUUGGUGGGGUAAUGGCCUACCAAGGCUUUGACGGGUAGCUGGUCUGAGAGGAUGGCCAGCCACAUUGGGACUGAGAUACGGCCCAGACUCCUACGGGAGGCAGCAGUGGGGAAUAUUGCGCAAUGGGCGAAAGCCUGACGCAGCGACGCCGCGUGGGUGAUGAAGGCCUCGGUCGGUUAACGACCGUACGUC